UGGGGAAUAUUGGACAAUGGGCGCAAGCCUGAUCCAGCCAUACCGCGUGGGUGAAGAAGGCCUUCGGGUUGUAAAGCCCUUUUGUUGGGAAAGAAAUCCAGCCGGCUAAUACCUGGUUGGGAUGACGGUACCCAAAGAAUAAGCACCGGCUAACUUCGUGCCAGCAGCCGCGGUAAUACGAAGGGUGCAAGCGUUACUCGGAAUUACUGGGCGUAAAGCGUGCGUAGGUGGUUAUUUAAGUCCGUUGUGAAAGCCCUGGGCUCAACCUGGGAACUGCAGUGGAUACUGGAUGACUAGAAUGUGGUAGAGGGUAGCGGAAUUCCUGGUGUAGCAGUGAAAUGCGUAGAGAUCAGGAGGAACAUCCAUGGCGAAGGCAGCUACCUGGACCAACAUUGACACUGGGGCACGAAAGCGUGGGGAGCAAACAG
rnacentral:rRNA from 1 species